ensembl:lncRNA
GGGUGGGGGGGAAGAAUAGCCAUGUUGAAGAGAAUAGCAAGUUCUUUCAACUAGAGAGAGGUGAGAGGGGAACACAAGGAAAGCAUUGCGGUACACAUCGCAAUGCUGCAGUUAAACACAAAGGCAGAGGUCGACCUGCAGACUUUCAGGCCCUGCUCUCAAAGAGUCAUUCAGUCCGGUCAUCUAUGAAGAUAAAAUACCCUAUUCACCUUUACACGCUCAGAUGGUUAUCUGAGCGUUAGAUCAUUAUCAAUUACGGCAACGCAUAAGCAUUCUGAAGGCCUGGGGGGAUGAAAACCAAUAUGGACGCCUUAGUGACCUGAGUGUUUGUGGUCCCUCUCUCUCUCUCCCCCCCUCUCACUCUCUCUCCCCCUCUCACUCUCUCUCCCUCCCCCUCCCUCUCUCUCCCCUCCCCUCCCUCUCCCUCUCUCUAUCUCCCUCCCUCUCUCAUUCUCUCACUCUCCCUCUCUCUCCCCCUCUCACUCUCUAUCUCCCUCCCUCUCUCAUUCUACCCUCUCCCCCUCCCUCUCUCUGUCUCUCCGGCUGCGGGAUGAAUGGGUGCAUUUGUUCGAUGUGUUUUUGUUGCGUUUGUGAUGUAAUGAGUUCUCUGUGUGUUCGUUCUUCACUCCGCAGUCAUGGAAAUGGUGUUGAUGUGGCGUUUAUCACUUUUUUGAGUGAGAUAGAAAAAACGGUGGUAGCACUGUUGUGGGUGAUUGUGUGUGAGGUUGUGGGCUGGGGGGUUAAUCCAGAAUAAAAUAAUAGAUUUUCCUUCCGCUAAUUAAGCCAUAGCAUUGGCACUUUCUCCCAGCCACCAAGGCAACAGCUCGGAUUCAGCCUGAUUUACAUGCAUUUCCUAGAGGAGAGAGAGCGUGCGUUUUGAUGGGAGAAAGCUCCUUCCUUUAAGGAACUCUGCUGUGGUGAGAGAGAGAGAGAGCGAGAGAGUGUGUGUGUGUGUGUGUGUGUGUGUGUGUGUGUGUGUGUGUGUGUGUGUGUGUGUGUGUGUGUGUGUGUGUGUGUGUGUGUGUGUGUGUGAUGCAGGGUGGUAUUUAUAUGACAGUAUGUGUGGGGGAGGUGUGUGGGUGACGGGAGGGUAUCCUGUGGAGGUGAUAUUUUGGCGAAAAACAGACAGUUGGAGAGAGCAACAGAAUCGGAAGAAAGGAACUGAAAAGUUUUAUAUAGAAACUAUGGCUGACGACAUAGAGAUUGGAAAAGCAUAGGAGAUGGAAGUGUUGAUAGAGAGAGAGAGAGAGAGAGAGAGAGAGAGAGAGAGAGAGAGAGAGACAAGAAGAGAGAAAAUGAGAGAACGAGUGCUUUGGCGCAGGAGAUCAUGGUGGGAGAGGGAUUCCUCCUCUUCUCAGACGGAGCGGAGAACAGGAUGCAUCCAGAGAGUCGGACGGGCCUCUGACAGCCGCCACCUGUCGUGUCAUCCCAUGCACACCAGACGACAAUCGGAGGAAAACCAACCCAAAAGCCUGUCACUCUAAAGUUGUUUACAAUGCAUUUGGUUGAAGAAAAUAGUCUGUUUUUUCUGCAACUGUUUGGGCAGUUGUAUCUUGUAUCUCCCUGCCAGUUGGUAUUAAGUGUCAAAGACAGAACAUGCCAUUAUGGCAAUGGAAGGGAAACGUUCAAAUUGACUCUGUAAUAGCAGCACUGGGUAAUAAAUUGGCAAUAUUACAGACCUUUUGUCUGAUUCAAUAUAUUACCUUGUGUUUGUAUUUGUGUAUCAGCAGUCAGCGCGGUGUGUCUGCACUGCGUUUGAGGGAAGAAAAUGGAUGCAGGAUAUAUGGUUACACAUUUCGUGUGACUCCACUUGAAUUGCGUUUGAAGACGGUGGCACAAGACAGUUGUGUGUGUGUGUAUGUGUGUGAUUGCCCUGGAAGCCCCCAGAAGCUACAGCGGUGGGAGCGGUGGGGAUAAUACAACUGUCCUCCCCUGCCUCGCUCCACAGAGCUGAUGGCCGGGCCGAGGGAGAGAUGUUUAAUGGAACCCUCGUACAUCAUCACCUGAGUGGAAAUCAAUUUUGCUCUCUUGCAAGUCACAGGAAAUGAGUUGGAGAUGCCCCCACUUGACUGUGAUGUAUAUCUUGCUCUUAAAUUUUGCUUUCAAUAAAACCAC